GAUGAAGAACGCAGCGAAAUGCGAUAAGUAAUGUGAAUUGCAGAAUUCAGUGAAUCAUCGAAUCUUUGAACGCACAUUGCGCCCGCUAGUAUUCUGGCGGGCAUGCCUGUUCGAGCGUCAUUUCAACCAUCAAGCCCUGUUUAGGCUUGUGUUGGGGCCCUGCGGUUGCCGCAGCCCCCUAAAUGCAGUGGCGGGCUCGUUGUCACUCCGAGCGCAGUAGCGUAUCUCGCUCUGGGCGUGGCGGCGGGUGCUAGCCGUGAAACACCCACUAAGGUCGACCUCGGAUCAGGUAGGAAUACCCGCUGAACUUAAGCAUAUCAAUAAGCGGAGGA
rnacentral:misc_RNA from 1 species